CAGGGAUGCUUCCAGACCAGUUCAAAGUGGCUGCCCAGUCACUUCUUUAAAUCUCCCAUGUGGUUCUUAGCCCUGACUAUUGUCUGCCCCGACCCUUCCGUGUAACUUCAGUGCUCCAUUCACACUAGUUGUAAUGUAAUAAAGCUGUGUAGUGUAAUUGAUUGCUAUCCCAAGUCCAUAGUGCUAUUGGUUGACUUGGGCUCGCUGUACUGUUAGGGAGGAGGUUAUGGUAGAGGAACUGAAGGGAAACUUUGUGUACAACUGUAACCCUGCUGUAUGUAAAUGAGG